rnacentral:rRNA from 1 species
UACGAAGGGUGCAAGCGUUAAUCGGAAUUACUGGGCGUAAAGCGCGUGUAGGCGGUUGCUUAAGUUGGAUGUGAAAUCCCCGGCGUACCUGGACUGCAUUCAAUACUGGGCGAACUGGAGUCUGAGAGAGGAGGGUGGAAUUUCCGGUGUAGCAGUGAAAUGCGUAGAGAUCGGAAGGAACACCAGUGGCGAAGGCGGCCCUCUGGCUCAGGACUGACGCUGAGACGCGAAAGCGUGGGGAGCAAACAGGAUUAGAAA